UACGAGGGAUCCUAGCGUUGUUCGGAAUCAUUGGGCGUAAAGGGUGUGUAGGCGGCCAAGUAAGUCAGUUGUGAAAGCCCCGGGCUCAACCCGGGAAGUGCUUCUGAUACUGCUUGGCUUGAGUAUUGGAGAGGUGAGUGGAAUUCCAGGUGUAGUGGUGAAAUACGUAGAUAUCUGGAGGAACACCGGCGGCGAAGGCGGCUCACUGGCCCGGUACUGACGCUGAGGUGCGAAAGCGUGGGGAGCAAACAGG
rnacentral:rRNA from 1 species